rnacentral:rRNA from 1 species
GACGAACGCUGGCGGCGUGCUUAACACAUGCAAGUCGAACGGAAAGGCCCUGCUUUUGUGGGGUGCUCGAGUGGCGAACGGGUGAGUAACACGUGAGUAACCUGCCCUUGACUUUGGGAUAACUUCAGGAAACUGGGGCUAAUACCGGAUAGGAGCUCCUGCUGCAUGGUGGGGGUUGGAAAGUUUCGGCGGUUGGGGAUGGACUCGCGGCUUAUCAGCUUGUUGGUGGGGUAGUGGCUUACCAAGGCUUUGACGGGUAGCCGGCAUGAGAGGGUGACCGCCCACAUGGGGACUACGGUACGGCCCAGAGUCGUACGGGAGGCAGUGGGGGGGAAUAUGACACAAUGGGGGGAAGCGUGAUGCGGCAGCGCUGCGUGCGGGAUGCCGGCUUUCGGGUUGUAAACCGCUUUCACUUGUGACGAAGCGGUUUUGACGGUAAUGGGUAAAGAAGCACCGGCUAACUACGUG